rnacentral:rRNA from 1 species
UGCAAGUCGAACGCAGUAGCAAUACUGAGUGGCGAACGGGUGAGUAUAAUGUGGGUAUCUGCCUUUUGGUUUGGAAUAACAUGAGGAAACUUGUGCUAAUACCGGAUAAGCCCUUACGGGGAAAGUUUUAACGCCGAAAGAUGAGCCCGCACUUGAUUAGCUAGUUGGUAAGGUAAAAGCUUACCAAGGCUACGAUCAAUAGCUGAUCUGAGAGGAUGAUCAGCCACAUUGGGACUGAGACACGGCCCAGACUCCUACGGGAGGCAGCAGUGGGGAAUCUUGCACAAUGGGGGAAACCCUGAUGCAGCGAUGCCGCGUGAGUGAAGAAGGCCCUUGGGUUGUAAAGCUCUUUCGUCGGGGAAGAAAAUGACUGUACCCGAAUAAGAAGGUCCGGCUAACUUCGUGCCAGCAGCCGCGGUAAUACGAAGGGACCUAGCGUAGUUCGGAAUUACUGGGCUUAAAGAGCUCGUAGGUUGUUAGAAAAGUUGGUGGUGAAAUCCCAAGGCUUAACCUUGGAACUGCCGCCAAAACUUUUUAACUAGAGUGUGAUAGAGGUAAGCGGAAUUUCUAGUGUAGAGGUGAAAUUCGUAGAUAUUAGAAAGAACACCAAUUGCGAAGGCAGCUUUCUGGAUCAUUACUGACACUGAGGAGCGAAAGCAUGGGUAGCGAAGAGGAUUAGAUACCCUCGUAGUCCAUGCUGUAAACGAUGUGUGCUAGACGUUGGAAAUUUAUUUUUCAGUGUCGCAGCAAAAGCGUUAAGCACACCGCCUGGGGAGUACGACCGCAAGGUUAAAACUCAAAUGAAUUGACGGGGACCCGCACAAGCAGUGGAGCAUGUGGUUUAAUUCGAAGAUACGCGCAGAACCUUACCAACACUUGACAUGUUCGUCGCGACUUUAAGAGAUUAAAGUCUUCGGUUCGGCC